GCAAGUCGAGCGGACAGAUGGGAGCUUGCUCCCUGAUGUUAGCGGCGGACGGGUGAGUAACACGUGGGUAACCUGCCUGUAAGACUGGGAUAACUCCGGGAAACCGGGGCUAAUACCGGAUGGUUGUUUGAACCGCAUGGUUCAAACAUAAAAGGUGGCUUCGGCUACCACUUACAGAUGGACCCGCGGCGCAUUAGCUAGUUGGUGAGGUAACGGCUCACCAAGGCGACGAUGCGUAGCCGACCUGAGAGGGUGAUCGGCCACACUGGGACUGAGACACGGCCCAGACUCCUACGGGAGGCAGCAGUAGGGAAUCUUCCGCAAUGGACGAAAGUCUGACGGAGCAACGCCGCGUGAGUGAUGAAGGUUUUCGGAUCGUAAAGCUCUGUUGUUAGGGAAGAACAAGUACCGUUCGAAUAGGGCGGUACCUUGACGGUACCUAACCAGAAAGCCACGGCUAACUACGUGCCAGCAGCCGCGGUAAUACGUAGGUGGCAAGCGUUGUCCGGAAUUAUUGGGCGUAAAGGGCUCGCAGGCGGUUUCUUAAGUCUGAUGUGAAAGCCCCCGGCUCAACCGGGGAGGGUCAUUGGAAACUGGGGAACUUGAGUGCAGAAGAGGAGAGUGGAAUUCCACGUGUAGCGGUGAAAUGCGUAGAGAUGUGGAGGAACACCAGUGGCGAAGGCGACUCUCUGGUCUGUAACUGACGCUGAGGAGCGAAAGCGUGGGGAGCGAACAGGAUUAGAUACCCUGGUAGUCCACGCCGUAAACGAUGAGUGCUAAGUGUUAGGGGGUUUCCGCCCCUUAGUGCUGCAGCUAACGCAUUAAGCACUCCGCCUGGGGAGUACGGUCGCAAGACUGAAACUCAAAGGAAUUGACGGGGGCCCGCACAAGCGGUGGAGCAUGUGGUUUAAUUCGAAGCAACGCGAAGAACCUUACCAGGUCUUGACAUCCUCUGACAAUCCUAGAGAUAGGACGUCCCCUUCGGGGGCAAAGUGACAGGUGGUGCAUGGUUGUCGUCAGCUCGUGUCGUGAGAUGUUGGGUUAAGUCCCGCAACGAGCGCAACCCUUGAUCUUAGUUGCCAGCAUUCAGUUGGGCACUCUAAGGUGACUGCCGGUGACAAACCGGAGGAAGGUGGGGAUGACGUCAAAUCAUCAUGGCCCCUU
rnacentral:rRNA from 1 species